rnacentral:rRNA from 1 species
GACAGAGGAUGCAAGCGUUAUCCGGAAUGAUUGGGCGUAAAGCGUCUGUAGGUGGCUUUUUAAGUCCGCCGUCAAAUCCCAGGGCUCAACCCUGGACAGGCGGUGGAAACUACCAAGCUGGAGUACGGUAGGGGCAGAGGGAAUUUCCGGUGGAGCGGUGAAAUGCGUAGAGAUGCGGAGGAACACCAGUGGCGAAAGCGACUUUCUGGUCCUUAACUGACGCUGAGGCGCGAAAGCAUGGGGAGCGAGCGGG